rnacentral:rRNA from 1 species
AUUGAACGCUGGCGGCAUGCUUUACACAUGCAAGUCGAACGGUAACAGGGAGCUUGCUCCGCUGACGAGUGGCGAACGGGUGAGUAAUGCGUCGGAACGUGCCGAGUAGUGGGGGAUAACGCAUCGAAAGGUGUGCUAAUACCGCAUACGUACUGAGGUAGAAAGUGGGGGACCUUCGGGCCUCACGCUAUUCGAGCGGCCGACGUCUGAUUAGCUAGUUGGUGAGGUAAAGGCUCACCAAGGCGACGAUCAGUAGCGGGUCUGAGAGGAUGGUCCGCCACACUGGGACUGGGACACGGCCCAGACUCCUACGGGAGGCAGCAGUGGGGAAUUUUGGACAAUGGGCGCAAGCCUGAUCCAGCCAUGCCGCGUGUCUGAAGAAGGCCUUCGGGUUGUAAAGGACUUUUGUUGGGAAAGAGAUCCAGCCGGUUAAUACCUGGUUGGGAUGACGGUACCCAAAGAAUAAGCACCGGCUAACUUCGUGCCAGCCGCCGCCGUAACAC